CAGUCGCCGCGGUAACACGGAGGGAGCUAGCGUUGUUCGGAAUUACUGGGCGUAAAGCGCGCGUAGGCGGUUACUCAAGUCAGAGGUGAAAGCCCGGGGCUCAACCCCGGAACUGCCUUUGAAACUAGGUGACUAGAAUCUUGGAGAGGUCAGUGGAAUUCCGAGUGUAGAGGUGAAAUUCGUAGAUAUUCGGAAGAACACCAGUGGCGAAGGCGACUGACUGGACAAGUAUUGACGCUGAGGUGCGAAAGCGUGGGGAGCAAACAGGAUUAGAUACCCCCGUAGUCCCUGUCUCUUAUAC
rnacentral:rRNA from 1 species